rnacentral:lncRNA from 1 species
AGCUGUUACACGCACUGGAGAAUGCAACUGAGAAGGAUAGAGACGGAGUUCGUAGCUCGGAGCGGCCUCCGGUUCGUGCUGCCCGAACCGUGCUCGCGAGACUUGCGAUGACGUGUAUCUUCUUUUUCAUCUUCUUUUUUCCUGACCCACCGGGUCCUGUAACGUGUACUUCUGUUAAAUGAAAAAGUGAUUUUGGUACCUUGUUUGUAUCUUGUGUUAAAUAGUUGUCUGCCGAACUUCAUCAUUUUCCUUUCCUUCUCUUUGUCUGUGUUACGUCGUCCCAAGGUCGUCAGCGACCUCUUCAGUUCAUGUGGGGUCGUCAUUCGCCGAGCUCCUUUUCGGCUUUUAUGCCGUUCGGAGAUACCCACUUGUC